rnacentral:rRNA from 1 species
UACAGAGGGUGCGAGCGUUGUCCGGAAUCACUGGGCGUAAAGGGCGCGUAGGCGGCUUGAUAAGGUUGCGGUGAAAGCCCGGGGCUCAACCCCGGGUCGGCCGUGGCAACUGUCGAGCUGGAGCACUGUAGAGGCAGGUGGAAUUCCGGGUGUAGCGGUGGAAUGCGUAGAUAUCAAGAGGAACACCUGAGGCGAAGGCGGGUUGCUAGGCUGACACUGACGCUGACAGCGCGAAAGCCAGGGGAGCAAACGGG